GAGCUUAGGUCAUCCACCUGCCUCGGCCUCCCAAAGUGCUGGGAUUACAGGUGUGAGCCACCGCAACUGGCCGAGAUGGUGGAUUUGAAAUUUGUUCCAUUUGCUCAUGGCCCCCUGCCGUUUCAGGGAGUGAGAUGAGAUGGAGAAGCCGUUGCCUCUCUACAGGAAAAGAAACAAAAAAAGGUGGAACAAGGGCAAACAAAGAUAAAAGGCAGGCAUGAGAUCCAAUGCUGAUACAAACAAGGGCGAGGAGGGGCUGAAAAGGUUCAUCAGAGGGGGAGGUCCCCAGGCAGCGGGGACUUUUGCAAGCGUGUAGGGAGAGAUGAGAAGUUCCAAGGAAAAGGAAAAGGGUGUGAGGUCUUUGGGGCCAGCUUUGAGCUGGCAAGGCUAAAUUAUAGGAAGAAGGCAGCGACGUGGGCAGAGACCAGAUGUGGGAGGACUUCCUGCGUCAGGCCAAGGAGUCUGGACUCCACCCUGUACGCGACGGGAGCCAAGAAAGGGCGCAAACACAUGGCACAUUUGUGGUUAAGAAACAUCUUCCUUGCUUCCUUGUAGCCUUGAGGAAUGAAUUAAGGGGCUGGAAAAGUGGGACCAGGACGGCCUGUGCCCAUGGUUCAGGCAGUGGAGCCUCAUCCACAACCCUGGAA
rnacentral:lncRNA from 10 species